AUGGGCCCUUACCAUCCCGGGCUACACACGUGCUACAAUGGCAGGUACAGAGGGCUGCGAAGCCGCGAGGUGGAGCGAAUCCCAGAAAACCUGUCUCAGUCCGGAUUGAAGUCUGCAACUCGACUUCAUGAAGGCGGAAUCGCUAGUAACCGCGAAUCAGCAGGUCGCGGUGAAUACGUUCCCGGGCCUU
rnacentral:rRNA from 1 species